ACUUGGUGGGCAGGUCCAUAAUGACACUUGGAAGCUGCCUACCAAAGCAUUUUGAGCUCAGCCUAUAGGGGGCGCUAUAAAUGCCACACAUCUGUAUCUCAAAGACCAUUGGAUGGAAUUUCACCAAAUUUGGUAUGCAUGCUCUAGGGGUGGCUAUUAACUAAUAUCUUGAGUGCCAUGUUGAUAGGUGAAAGUGGGCGUGGCCUAUUCGUCAUUAACCGUCAUAAUUUGCGUUUUAUUAAUUUAUGAGCAGCUGGAAGGACCUAGGGACAUGAAACGUGGUACAUGGACUAUAAAGGACAUCCAAAUACUGCUCAAAAAAUUCGGUCCCAAUCGGCCUCAUGGGGGCGCUAUAACAUAGAGUGUAAAGCUUGAAAGGCUCUGUCCGCCACACCACAAGUGCUAUUGACUUGAAAUUAUACACACACAUCCUCCUGAUAGUCCUCUACAAAAAAGCCUCUUGCACCAUGAAUGCCGCCCUUACAGAAUUUUUGCUAAUUUUAAUAAUGUUAAAAACAGUAAAAUGAAUAAGCUUUUGAAAUAAUUGUGCUAUCAACACCACACUUGGUAUGAGACAUCAGGGGACCGAGACACUCAUUGCUAGUAGUCACCGUGACGUCACCCAUUCGUUUCUGAGUAGCGGGUUUGAAGCUCAAAAUAGUCAGGUCUGGCCGUUGCUAUCUUGGCAGUGCCUGACUCCGCCCAACUCCCGGCCAAUCAAAAAUGGGCAAAGAGGCGGGCCAAAUUAAGCCUGGUUGCUUAAACAUGGCCACCUUGCUCGACGCUGCUAAGUUAGUUUAGGUUUACAAGCUAGGCUAACAAGCUACUAGGCUAACAAGCUACGCUACUUUGGCUAGCCCUGUUGUUCCUGCUUGGUGCCAGCUCCUUCACGAAACUUGAGGUAAGUUGAGUUUACCUGAAACUAACGUUAUACAACAAAUCUUGAAACAAUGAUUCAGCUGUUACUGAGAUUACACAAUCUUAAAAAACGCUUCAACGUUUUUAAAUAUAUAACGCUAAUUAUGGUAAUGUUACAUUCAUUUGCAAUACUUGAUUUUGUCGAGACUUGCAGUAAUUUGGCCAGGGUUACAGUGAAUCAGUGUAACAUUUAUUUAAUACAUAUAUAACAAAUAAUUUGAAGCAAAUCAGUUGACCUGAAUUUAGAUUUUCACGUAACUUUAGUAAGGAGUUGUUUAUUUGUAUGUCACUUGAUUAUACUUUGAAUAAGAUAAUGUUAAUAAGCUAAGUCCCAUUUAAUGGUAGUGUUCUUUCUUACCAUUAAUGUUUUGUUGACACCAAACAAGAAAUUCGAGUUAGUGGUUGGAUUUGCAGUGUGCAUAACGGCUGACAUUAAAGAUUAUAUCCUUGCACCCACACCGCUAUUGCAAACAGUGCGCAUAUUUAUGAUUUUGACACUGAUAAAAGUCCGAAGGGGACUGUUAUGUAUGUUACUGUUAUGAACAGCGCAUUGCGAGAUUAUCAUCCUCUAGAACAUGAAAAAGAAAUGUAGAAAUUGUGAAAGAAAGGCAAUGUUACACUUAUUAGAUGUUAAUUUCUUUCAGUACAUCACCAGUGUUGAGAUCAUGGCCACUUGUGAAGUCUGCACCAUGCCUGCUACACACAGCAGAAACUGCACAGCGUGGAUCAUUGAUGACAGCUAUGUCCGGCGUGGUGCCCAGAGAGCUGCAGAGACCUUGGGAAGCAACCUCAGCAUGCCAGGCGUCCGUGUCUGCUGGUUUGGCUGGGGUGGACUGCAGUGGAGAGGCCUUCUCUCCUUCUUUUCCCACUUCCUGCGAGGAAGAGCAGCACCAUCCACCAUCAUCCACUGUGGCGGCAAUGACAUGGGGAAGGUCAGCAGUGUCAAGCUGGUCAGCAUGAUGAAGGAGGACCUGCACCAGCUUCAUUUUUAUGUUAUGUAAUCUUUAUUCACACUGUAUUUAUUAAUUAAAACAACAUAUGUCAUGUAUCGUAGCUUAAUUCCUACACAAAAAUGACAGUGUCAGGGGUGAAAGUGAAAAAUUUGUCAAUCAUUGUCCGUCUAUAAUUUUGCGCCCUACUUGAGUCAUGCCCACCUAUUUAUUUUUCACCCCUCUUUCCAGUUCUGCUGUAUUAACACUGGGUUUAAUAUAUUUUGCUUCCAUUUCUCUGCCCUGCUCUACUCUACUUCAACGCUACUUAGCUCUCUCUCUACUCUACCAGUAGACUACCACAUCCACCUGUUGCACAAAACGCACACAGCAGUGUUUCCCCUAGGAUGGAGUUGUAGCAGCGGAGGUGAAGCACACGCAUGAAAAAUCAUUUUCACAUGCGUGAAACUUUUUUGUAUGCUUGCAAAGCACAGCCUGCUGGGAUGUUUCUGUGUAUCUACUGGCACCAUAAGGGCUCUUUAGGACUAAGGACAUACAGUACAUGUGUGCACAGUAAUGAGCAGGUGAAAUGUCUGUCUAGCUUACAUAUGAGGUGUCUCAAGAUUUAGGAACAUACAAUUUUAUUGAAUAUAAUAAAAGUAAAAAGUCACAUGACAUGCUGCUGUUUUGUGCUAUGACUUAUUCAAGUGUUGGACAAUGCCUGAACGCAACACAAGCUCAGCACGAGUGCCGUGCUGUGCUGCUGUGCGAGCAGCUGUUUGUCUGUGCGUAACAGCAGUCUGUUGAUGGUUAUUUACACAGUGUCCAUAACAAUAACUUUGUCAGCUGACAAACUGCACCGGGCUCGGGGUCAGGUUUGGUCAGCAAAAUGAGGCCCGAGCCGCUCUAGCGUGCUCACCUGUGUGUGUGGCGGAACUCCGCAGUGCACGAUACAGAGAGCAGAGGAGAAUUGUUAAUGCGUGACCAUGUGGAGACAGAAAUGACACGAUGACAUAACACCAUAAAUAGUAUAUUACAUGCCCGACCUUGAGUUUUACUUGCCCAGGGGCAAUCAGGCAAUCGUUAUUGUUGAGCCCUGGUUUAAAUGGUGCCAUAAUUGAGCACCCUCACAUUAGACAUGACAGUUCGGGGCUAUUUUUGAAAGAUGGAGUUCAUUUCACACCUAGGGGAAAUGAUAUGUUUUAAGUCAAUUAGUUCAUUGUCUUAAAGACCACCUCCAAACGCAGUGAACUGCUUACUGUUGGCAGUGUCACUGCUUUUGAAUUUGGCCUUUAGGACACAUUUUGUUAGGCCUGAACAUAGCCCAGGCUGUCACGGCUAAUGUUGAGUUUUUAAUAUUCAUCUAUAACUUGUUUAAAAUUUCAAUAAAUUCUAUAUUUGCACUCCUUCUGUCUUUAUUACUGACUGAAUGUUGUAUUUCACAAUCAAAUCUGACUGUCAAUUGAAAGGACAAACAAAUCAUACACUACAGAUAAAGCAUAAAGCAUUAAUUUUUAACACUGUCAUUGACAAAUAAUUAAGCAGUCCAUUUCUGUGUGGGCCUGAUUAUUUUAACAUUGUACUUGAAGAUAACUAAGCACCUUACACCCAGCAGCAGAGCCUGAGAAGAUUUUGGACAGUACCCUUUGUUUGCU